AUCCAGCUGACGAUUCCCAAAUAGGAGGAAACGCGCAUCCUGGAU
rnacentral:hammerhead_ribozyme from 1 species